GCUCAGAUUGAACGCUGGCGGCAGGCCUAACACAUGCAAGUCGAGCGGUAGAGAGAAGCUUGCUUCUCUUGAGAGCGGCGGACGGGUGAGUAAUGCCUAGGAAUCUGCCUGGUAGUGGGGGAUAACGUUCGGAAACGAACGCUAAUACCGCAUACGUCCUACGGGAGAAAGCAGGGGACCUUCGGGCCUUGCGCUAUCAGAUGAGCCUAGGUCGGAUUAGCUAGUUGGUGAGGUAAUGGCUCACCAAGGCGACGAUCCGUAACUGGUCUGAGAGGAUGAUCAGUCACACUGGAACUGAGACACGGUCCAGACUCCUACGGGAGGCAGCAGUGGGGAAUAUUGGACAAUGGGCGAAAGCCUGAUCCAGCCAUGCCGCGUGUGUGAAGAAGGUCUUCGGAUUGUAAAGCACUUUAAGUUGGGAGGAAGGGCAGUUACCUAAUACGUGAUUGUUUGACGUUACCGACAGA
rnacentral:rRNA from 1 species